AUCCUGGCUCAGAGCGAACGCUGGCGGCAGGCUUAACACAUGCAAGUCGAGCGGGAGUAGCAAUACGUCAGCGGCAGACGGGUGAGUAACGCGUGGGAACGUACCUUUUGGUUCGGAACAACACAGGGAAACUUGUGCUAAUACCGGAUAAGCCCUUACGGGGAAAGAUUUAUCGCCGAAAGAUCGGCCCGCGUCUGAUUAGCUAGUUGGUGAGGUAAUGGCUCACCAAGGCGACGAUCAGUAGCUGGUCUGAGAGGAUGAUCAGCCACAUUGGGACUGAGACACGGCCCAAACUCCUACGGGAGGCAGCAGUGGGGAAUAUUGGACAAUGGGGGCAACCCUGAUCCAGCCAUGCCGCGUGAGUGAUGAAGGCCCUAGGGUUGUAAAGCUCUUUUGUGCGGGAAGAUAAUGACGGUACCGCAAGAA
rnacentral:rRNA from 1 species